AUGCUUGCCUCAGUAGCACACAUACUUAAGUUGGAACAAUAGAGAGAAUUGGCAUGGCCUCUGUGAAAGAUGACAUGCAAAUUUGUGAAGCAUUCCAUAUUUUU
rnacentral:snRNA from 1 species